AAGGCAUCUCAGCGACUUCCCGGCAAUCAAAAGAUCAAAGGCUUUGUUUAUCUCCUCAAAUGGAAGCUCAUGAGUGAUGAAAUUAUCCAGCUUUAUCACCUAAGAAGUUAAUUAAAGACAUAACAACCAGGCAACUGACUUUUGCCUUUGAAACCUCCAAACACCGAUCCUUCAAUUCUGCGACCGUCAAAGAGCUCCAUUGGAUGGAUGGGAAGCAACUUUGGUGAUGCAUGAAUUCCCAACAGUACAGUCAAUCCCCAACCCUGCAUUUCAAAAAUUGACAUGAAAUUUUAUAGUGCACAAUUUUAAACUAGAAAACUGUUUCUGUGAUCAGUUUUGAAUUGGAUCCUUGCUUUCAAAUAAGGAUGAAGUUUGUUUAUGAAGAAAAGUUGAAAUACUAUAUACUAUAUA